GUUCUGUGUACUGUGGAUACUACAUGUGCGAGCACAUGAGGGAGCUCGAUAGAUACACAACAGAUCCCCAACGUGCUUCACGGGAAAAACACCAAGGUCCACUCCAUGAGCGGCAACUUCUCAAUGUAGUUGAUGAUUUAUGUCGUUUCAUAUUGCAUGAAGUGGUCCAUAUAGAUGGAUAUUUUGUUCACCCGGACCAUGAACUAUCAACUGACUCAAAAUAUAGAAGCCUCCAUCAGUGGGACAAUCAGCAACUCCGAGCCGGCUAUAGUAGCAUUAUUUAGAAGAAAUAGGACAAAACUAUGCAAUUAAUUCUAUGUGCAAUUUCAUGAUGAAUGUAUGUACUAUAAUGAUACAUUGUACUGAUACUUUCCUUAUAAUUUUGUUUCGAAUUUGUAAUUAGUUAUAUUUAAGCA